AAGAAACCUGCAUCCAGCGACCCGCCUUGUAUGGACUGCUUCCCAUGCCUUACAUGGUGUUGGGAUUUUCUAAACCAUCACAAAGCUGAAGAUGUUAUGACACAUCCUAGACGAGAACCUGGACCUCAGACAGAAAAUGACAUUAGGGUGUCAUUAUUUGAACGAAGAAUCAUCGAGGAAAAUAAGGAAUACAGAUGGCAGACUGGGGACAAUGAUGAUG